GACGGAGGAUGCAUGUGUUAUCCGGAAUCACUGGGCGUAAAGCGUCUGUAGGUGGUCAAAUAAGUCAACUGUUAAAUCUUGAGGCUCAACCUCAAAAUCGCAGUCGAAACUAUUAGACUAGAGUAUAGUAGGGGUAAAGGGAAUUUCCAGUGGAGCGGUGAAAUGCGUAGAUAUCUGGAGGAACACCGGUGGCGAAGGCGGCAUCCUGGACCAACAUUGACGCUGAGGAGCGAAAGCUAGGGGAGCAAACGGG
rnacentral:rRNA from 1 species